rnacentral:rRNA from 1 species
AUGGGGCGAACCACAUUUAAUCCUAUUUGGAAUAAGAUAUGGAAGUUAUCGUGUCCAGCAAAAGUCAAAAAAUUUAUAUGGCAUACAUUACAUGGAACGCUUCCAUGCCGGGUUACGCUCGCAAAUAGACAUAUGAAGGUCAUGCCCGUUUGUCCUACUUGCUCUGAGGGUUCUGAAGAUAUAAAGCAUAUGCUUUUCCUUUGCAGUAGAGCAAAGGAGGUUUGGACAAGGCUGGGGAUGGAUGAUAUCAUUGAUAAAGCUUGAGAGGUUGACCUUGCUGGAGAGGCGGUGUUGGAGUACCUACUACUUCUACCAGACCAAGGAUUGAGGAUAAUGGGUUAUCACAAUGCGUGUGAAAUGAUUGCUGUCUCAGCAUGGUAUCUAUGGUGGGAAAGACGGAAGUUAGUGCACAAGGAGACAACUCAGAAUGCACUUCAGAUUUCAAUGGGGAUUCUAGCCCUUACGUCAAACUUCGUAAAUGCAUCAUCCCCCAAGGCUUCUAUAAAAAAGGGGGAUUGGUCAUGUCCUCCUAGGGGUUUUGUGAAACUUAACAUUGAUGCUUAUUUUGACCACAACCUGCUUAGGGGCACGAUGGGGGCGGUUUUGAGAGAUGAAACAGGUAGGUUUAUCGCGGGAGGGAACGAGAAGAUUGAAUAUUGCGCAGAUGUGUUGAUGGAGGAAGCUCAACUCUUAAAUAUGGUAUAA